rnacentral:lncRNA from 1 species
ACGAUGGCGUCGACGCAAUAGGUGGGGGAGGUUUUCACGCCCUUCCAUUUUCUAAGAGGUAAUGCCAUGCGGGCGAUGACUGGGCGACAAGCAGGCAAUGAUUUGGCGCACGUAUGGCAGCAUUUCUCUAGCUAAGUCUAGAUCCUUCCAAUGGAAGAUUCUAGACCCACCUAGACUUCUCUUGUAUAUUCUACUAGGUGUAGAGAUUUGUAGAACUCUCUAGAGCUUUGAUCUUAGCUAUUGAUUAGAAUAGAUCUUAGCCGUUGAUUUGGGACUCUAGCAACUAUAAAUGGGCUAGAGGCAUUUGGCAUUUGCAUCCAAGAAACAUUCAAGCAAUCCAAUACUUGUAUAAAGCN